AACGAACGCUGGCGGCAUGCCUAACACAUGCAAGUCGAACGAGACCUUCGGGUCUAGUGGCGCACGGGUGCGUAACGCGUGGGAACCUGCCCUUAGGUUCGGAGUAACUCCCCGAAAGGGGUGCUAAUACCGGAUAAUGUCUUCGGACCAAAGAUUUAUCGCCUUUGGAUGGGCCCGCGUUGGAUUAGCUAGUUGGUAGGGUAAAAGCCUACCAAGGCGACGAUCCAUAGCUGGUCUGAGAGGAUGAUCAGCCACACUGGGACUGAGACACGGCCCAGACUACGACGGGGGAAGGGGGUGGGGAAUAGGGGACAAGGGGCUAAAGCCUGAUCAAGAGAGGCCGGGGGGGUGGUGAGGACCUUAGGGUUGUAAAGCUCUUUUCCCGGGGAUAAACAUGCCAGACCAGUGAGACUAAGCCCCGGCGACCCCCGCGCCAGCAGCGGCGUAAUAAGAGGAAGCUCACCCGUCCGACC
rnacentral:rRNA from 1 species